rnacentral:rRNA from 1 species
UGGGGAAUAUUGCACAAUGGGCGAAAGCCUGAUGCAGCGACGCCGCGUGAGGGAUGACGGCCUUCGGGUUGUAAACCUCUUUCAGCAGGGACGAAGCGCAAGUGACGGUACCUGCAGAAGAAGCACCGGCUAACUACGUGCCAGCAGCCGCGGUAAUACGUAGGGUGCAAGUGUUGUCCGGAAUUACUGGGCGUAAAGAGUUCGUAGGCGGUUUGUCGCGUCGUUUGUGAAAACCAGCAGCUCAACUGCUGGCUUGCGGGCGAUACGGGCAGACUUGAGUACUGCAGGGGAGACUGGAAUUCCUGGUGUAGCGGUGAAAUGCGCAGAUAUCAGGAGGAACACCGGUGGCGAAGGCGGGUCUCUGGGCAGUAACUGACGCUGAGGAACGAAAGCGUGGGUAGCGAACAGG